rnacentral:rRNA from 1 species
UGGGGAAUAUUGGACAAUGGGCGAAAGCCUGAUCCAGCCAUGCCGCGUGUGUGAAGAAGGUCUUCGGAUUGGAAAGCACUUUAAGUUGGGAGGAAGGGCAGUAAGCGAAUACCUUGCUGUUUUGACGUUACCGACAGAAUAAGCACCGGCUAACUCUGUGCCAGCAGCCGCGGUAAUACAGAGGGUGCAAGCGUUAAUCGGAAUUACUGGGCGUAAAGCGCGCGUAGGUGGUUCGUUAAGUUGAAUGUGAAAGCCCCGGGCUCAACCUGGGAACUGCAUCCAAAACUGGCGAGCUAGCGUAGGGCAGAGGGUGGUGGAAUUUCCUGUGUAGCGGUGAAAUGCGUAGAUAUAGGAAGGAACACCAGUUGCGAAGGCGACCACCUGGGCUCAUACUGACACUGAGGUGCGAAAGCGUGGGGAGCAAACAGG